GAUGAAGAACGUAGCGAAAUGCGAUAAGUAGUGUGAAUUGCAGAAUUCAGUGAAUCAUCGAAUCUUUGAACGCACAUUGCGCCCUUUGGUAUUCCAAAGGACAUGCCUGUUCGAGCGUCAUUUGUACCCUCAAGCUUUGCUUGGUGUUGGGCGUCUUGUCUCUAGCUUUGCUGGAGACUCGCCUUAAAGUAAUUGGCAGCCGGCCUACUGGUUUCGGAGCGCAGCACAAGUCGCACUCUCUAUCAGCAAAGGUCUAGCAUCCAUUAAGCCUUUUUUUCAACUUUUGACCUCGGAUCAGGUAGGGAUACCCGCUGAACUUAAGCAUAUCAAUAAGCGGAGGA
rnacentral:misc_RNA from 1 species